UACGGGAGGCAGCAGUGGGGAAUAUUGCACAAUGGGCGCAAGCCUGAUGCAGCGACGCCGCGUGGGGGAUGACGGCCUUCGGGUUGUAAACUCCUUUCGUUAGGGACGAAGCCGCACUUUUUUUGGGUGUGGUGACGGUACCUUUGUUAAGAAGCACCGGCUAACUACGUGCCAGCAGCCGCGGUAAUACGUAGGGUGCGAGCGUUGUCCGGAAUUACUGGGCGUAAAGAGCUCGUAGGUGGUUUGUUGCGUCGUCUGUGAAAUUCCGGGGCUUAACUUCGGGGUGGCAGGCGAUACGGGCAUAACUAGAGUGCUGUAGGGGAGACUGGAAUUCCUGGUGUAGCGGUGGAAUGCGCAGAUAUCAGGAGGAACACCGAUGGCAAACUCAAAGGAAUUGACGGGGGCCCGCACAAGCGGCGGAGCAUGUGGAUUAAUUCGAUGCAACGCGAAGAACCUUACCUGGGUUUGACAUGCACCAGACGGUUGUAGAGAUACGUACCUCCCUUUGUGGUUGGUGUGCAGGUGGUGCAUGGUUGUCGUCAGCUCGUGUCGUGAGAUGUUGGGUUAAGUCCCGCAACGAGCGCAACCCUUGUCUUAUGUUGCCAGCACGUUCAGGUGGGGACUCAUGAGAGACUGCCGGGGUUAACUCGGAGGAAGGUGGGGAUGACGUCAAAUCAUCAUGCCCUUUAUGCCCAGGGCUUCACACAUGCUACAAUGGUUAGUACAACGCGCUGCGAGCCUGUGAGGGUGAGCGAAUCGCUGAAAGCCAGUCUCAGUUCGGAUUGGGGUCUGCAACUCGACCCCAUGAAGUCGGAGUCGCUAGUAAUCGCAGAUCAGCAACGCUGCGGUGAAUACGUUCCCGGGCCUU
rnacentral:rRNA from 1 species